AUACAAUAAAAAUUUUAUAAAAGUAGUAAGAUAAACUCAAUAAAAAAAAAGAGAAUACUGUAAAGGAAAGAAGAAAAAAAAUAAAAUUAAAUAAAAGUAAGUAAAUUUACCUUUUGUAUUAGGGGGUUUCAAAAUAUACUAAAUAUUUUAGGUAUCUCGAAAUAUAUUUGAGCUAGCUUAAAAAGUAAUCAAUAUUACAAAAUUAAAUAAAUUUAAAUUCUAAGUUAGUAAUGAAAUGUUAGUCGUAAAUAAUGAUAUCUAGUUUCCUCAAAAAUAAAUUUAAUUUAAUCCAUUUAGUAAAACUUCGAAUGGCUAAAUAUCGAAAGGGAUAAGCCUUCCGAUAAAGUUACCUGAUAUAAGUAUUAAAAUAAAAAGAAAAGAUAGGCUUGAAAAUGACCAUUAUAAAAUAAUAUUACAAUUAAUUUAUAAUAACUAAAGAUUCUUUAUCAUGAAUAUGAAGAUAUAUUUAUUAGCAAGAUAAAAUAAUAUAAUAAUGAGACUAUUAGUAAUAAUAUUAUAAUAUAAAAAUAUAAUAUACUUAUUCUUUUUAAGGAACUAGACAAAAUAACUUUUUGACUGUUUAACAAAAACAUUUCCCUAUGAUAAUUAUAAUUAUACGGUAAGACCUGCCCAUUGACAUAAUUUUAAAAGGCCGCGGUAAUUUAACCGUGCAAAGGUAGCAUAAUAAUUAGUUCUUUAAUUAAGAACUAGUACGAAAGGUUUAACAUAAUAGUUUUUGUCUUAAAAAAUAAGAUGAAUUUAAUCUUUUAAGUAAAAAAGCUAAAAUAAUUCUGUAAGACGAUAAGACCCUAGAAAGCUUUGCAAUAACUAUAAAAUCAUUUAUUAAAAAAGAAAAAUAAAAUAAAAUUAUAGUUUUUGUUUAGUUGGGGCGACUAAAAUAAAUAAAAAGAAACUACUUAGUAUUAAUCACUAAAAUAAUAGAUCAUAAGAAUAUCAUUUUGUUUAACAGCUAAGUUACUUUAGGGAUAACAGCGUAAUAUUCUUAAAGAGUCCGUAUCGAUAAGAAAGUUUACGACCUCGAUGUUGAAUUAUAUUAUCCCUUAUUGAGCAAAACCAAUAUUGGGCGGUCUGUUCGACCUUUAGAUAUAUACAUGAUUUGAGUUCAAACCGGUUUAAGCCAGGUUGGUUUCUAUCUACAGAUAAAAGAAAAAAAAACUAUCUAGUACGAAAGGACCGAAAGCUAUUUAAUAAUUUUAACUAGCAACAGCUGGCCAAAAAAAAAGAGAGAAGAG
rnacentral:rRNA from 1 species